rnacentral:rRNA from 1 species
CACGUAGGGGGCAAGCGUUGUCCGGAUUUAUUGGGCGUAAAGAGCUCGUAGGCGGUUUCGUAAGUCGGGUGUGAAAACUCUAGCUCAACCUGGAGACGCCACCCGAUACUGCGAUGACUAGAGUCCGGUAGGGGAGUGUGGAAUUCCUGGUGUAGCGGUGAAAUGCGCAGAUAUCAGGAGGAACACCAACGGCGAAGGCAGCACUCUGGGCCGGAACUGACGCUGAGGAGCGAAAGCGUGGGUAGCGAACAGG